CAGAAGAUAGUUUAAAUAAAACCUAAACUUUGGAAGUUUAAAAUAGCAUUAUGUUUCUUCUGA
rnacentral:tRNA from 1 species